rnacentral:rRNA from 1 species
UACGGAGGGGGCUAGCGUUAUUCGGAAUUACUGGGCGUAAAGCGCACGUAGGCGGGACGGAAAGUCAGAGGUGAAAUCCCAGGGCUCAACCUUGGAACGGCCUUUGAAACUCCCGUUCUUGAGAUCGUGAGAGGUGAGUGGAAUUCCGAGUGUAGAGGUGAAAUUCGUAGAUAUUCGGAGGAACACCAGUGGCGAAGGCGGCUCACUGGCACGAUACUGACGCUGAGGUGCGAAAGCGUGGGGAGCAAACAGG